rnacentral:rRNA from 1 species
GUGCCAGCCGCCGCGGUAAGACAGAGGGUGCAAACGUUGCUCGGAAUUACUGGGCGUAAAGCGCGUGUAGGCGGGCUUGCAAGUCAGAUGUGAAAUCCCCGGGCUCAACCCGGGAACUGCAUUUGAAACUGCAAGCCUUGAGUAUCGGAGAGGAAAGCGGAAUUCCUGGUGUAGAGGUGAAAUUCGUAGAUAUCAGGAGGAACACCGGUGGCGAAGGCGGCUUUCUGGACGAUAACUGACGCUGAGACGCGAAAGCGUGGGGAGCAAACAGGAUUAGAUACCCUCGUAGUCC